GCUAAGGCAGGGUUUCUCAGGCAGGAGUGGGAACAAGCCUGAAAAUCUCCAUCUCCCCAGAGGGGCAGAGUAGAAGUUUGGAAAAGGCUUCCAGAUGACUUUGAUAUGCACAUAUCCCUUUUCUAGAAUUGAGAACCACGGCCUCAAGGACCUCUCUGCGCUUUGGGGAAACAGACCUGAUUUGGUCCUCCUGGGUUCCUGAAAAGAAGUCCUCUUUACAGCCCCAGUUCUCUGGGAAUUAACUGGAUUCACUCAGCACGGGUAUGAGCGUGCAUGUGUGAGUGUGUGCUGAGACAGACUUCAGUGAACUCACGGCACGCCAUGAAAGAUUGCCUAUGUGAGGGCAUUGUGAGAGCAGGGAUGAUGAUGUCUGCAAUGUGCUUGGCCCUUCAUAUGUGUCUGAUCCAGUUUACUUUCGGGGACAUCCGUCAUCACCAUUGGAAUCCAGACACACACCAUGAAACAUAAACAGACUGAGGCCAACAAAGGUGAAGACAGUUGCCUAAAUAACACAGCUUAUUUGCAGAAGAGCUAACAAGCGUUGAGUCGAUACUAUUUUAGCUAUAUUGUGUGACUUUUUGUACCAGAGAACUUACAAAAAUCAUCAGGGCCAGAUGGCCUGCAAGAUAUUGGAUCAUUAGGACAUAAAAAUUAGGUAGAAUCAAGGUAAGCAGACAUUUUCAUCAAAUUAACUUUUAAUAAAAAAUUAAAGGACUUUUAAGGUUGAGGAGAAAUAAAUAUUCUCAAUAGAUUUUCAGAAAAAUACGAGCUAAAAUGUUGAUUUAAGUAACUAUUAAGUAUUUGAUGCUUUAAAUUUUUCUGAAAAGAGAUCAGGCUUUUAUGGCCUAAAUUCUUUGUUCAGAACAAAUUAAUCCGUGUAGUUGGGCUAAACACUUUACCUCUUGGUUAUCAGCUUGAUCUUUUGUAAAAUGAGUGCUAAAGAGAUGAGUAGUUUUCCAUAGCC
rnacentral:lncRNA from 1 species